AGCUCCAAUAGCCUUUAUUAAAGUUGUUGCAGUUAAAAAGCUCGUAGUUGGAUCUGUGGUUGAGGUAAGGCUUCCGUCCCUUUUGGGUUUUGGUGUUGCCUGACGUUGCCAUCCUUGGGUGGAAUCUAUGUGACAUUAGGUUGUUGUGCAGGGGAUGCCCAUUGUUUACUGUAAAAAAUUAGAGUGUUCAAAGCAGGCUUAUGCCGUUGAAUGUUAGCAUGGAAAAAUAAGAUAGGACCUUGGUACUAUUUUGUUGGUUUGCUCACCGAGGUAAUGAUUAAUAGGGACGGUUGGGGGUAUUCGUAUUCCAUUGUCAGAGGUGAAAUUCUUGGAUUUUUGGAAGACAAACUACUGCAAAAGCAUUUACCAAGGAUGUUUUCA
rnacentral:rRNA from 1 species